AUACUUACCUGGACGGGGUUGAAUGGGUUAUCAGAAAGGCUCAGGGCCUAGGUUAGUGGCCUCCAUUGCACUUAGGAGGAGCACUGACUUAGCAUCUCCUCAAGUAGGAGAGUGCACGUCAUAAUUUGUAGUAGAGGGGGGUGCGCGUACGCGCGGCCCCUAC